rnacentral:rRNA from 1 species
CCUACGGGGGGCAGCAGUGGGGGAUAUUGCACAAUGGGGGGAACCCUGAUGCAGCGACGCCGCGUGGGUGAAGAAGCGCCUCGGCGCGUAAAGCCCUGUCAGCAGGGAAGAAAAUGACGGUACCUGAAGAAGAAGCCCCGGCUAACUACGUGCCAGCAGCCGCGGUAAUACGUAGGGGGCAAGCGUUAUCCGGAUUUACUGGGUGUAAAGGGGGCGCAGACGGCGAUGCAAGCCAGGAGUGAAAGCCCGGGGCCCAACCCCGGGACUGCUCUUGGAACUGCGUGGCUGGAGUGCAGGAGGGGCAGGCGGAAUUCCUGGUGUAGCGGUGAAAUGCGUAGAUAUCAGGAGGAACACCGGUGGCGAAGGCGGCCUGCUGGACUGCAACUGACGUUGAGGCCCGAAAGCGUGGGGAGCAAACAGGAUUAGAUACCC